AUACGGAGGAUGCAAGCGUUAUUCGGAUUUAUUGGGUUUAAAGGGUGCGUAGGCGGUUUGCUAAGCGGGAGGUGAAAUGCCGGCGCUCAACGUCGGAAGUGCCUCCCGAACUGGUGGACUUGAAUGACUCUGCCGUGGGAGGAAUGUGUAGUGUAGCGGUGAAAUGCUUAGAGAUUACACAGAACACCGAUUGCGAAGGCAUCUCACGAAGGGUUGAUUGACGCUGAGGCACGAAAGCGUGGGGAUCAAACAGGAUUAGAUACCCUGGUAGUCCACGCAGUAAACGAUGAUGGCUAACCGCUGGGCUUAUCAGUUCAGUGGCCAAGCGAAAGCGAUAAGCCAUCCACCUGGGGAGUACGACCGCAAGGUUGAAACUCAAAGGAAUUGACGGGG
rnacentral:rRNA from 1 species